GAACGGUGAUCCAGGAGCUUGCUCUUGGUGAUCAGUGGCGAACGGGUGAGUAACACGUGAGUAACCUGCCCCUGACUCUGGAAUAACUUCGGGAAACCGGAGCUAAUACCGGAUAUGACACAGAGCCGCAUGGGUUUCGUGUGGAAAGUUUUUCGGUUUGGGAUGGACUCGCGGCCUAUCAGCUUGUUGGUGAGGUAAUGGCUCACCAAGGCGACGACGGGUAGCCGGCCUGAGAGGGCGACCGGCCACACUGGGACUGAGACACGGCCCAGACUCCUACGGGAGGCAGCAGUGGGGAAUAUUGCACAAUGGGCGAAAGCCUGAUGCAGCGACGCCGCGUGAGGGAUGACGGCCUUCGGGUUGUAAACCUCUUUCAGCAGGGAAGAGGCGAAAGUGACGGUACCUGCAGAAGAAGCACCGGCUAACUACGUGCCAGCAGC
rnacentral:rRNA from 1 species